AUGAAUAUAAGAACUGGAGUCCAUUUGGAUCCUGCCAGGGGCUCCUGUGGAUCCCUGGGGUACCAACACUUGGAUAACUCCCCGCUCAGUGCCAUCCCCGGCCACAGUGGUCUGUCACUCUGCUACACCGAGCCUUGCGCAUGCAGCCAUGCACCCCACUCCUCUCACCACGUUCAUGCAUCCACACAUACUGCAUACUGCGCUGCACAGACUCGCACCUCCCACUGCGAGUGUGCACUGUGCGCACACACCGCGCAUUGCACACACACACAUCACACUGCAUGCCACACUGCACAAACUCACUGCUUCCACUGGGCACACUGCUCGCGCACACAUUACAUUGCAUACCACACUGCACAGCUCAAACUUCGCGCGGUGACCAUGCACUGUGUGCACAUACCUCGCGCUGCAUGCUGCCGUGCAAAGCCUCAUGGGUCACGCUGCGUGCACAUACCUCAUACGGUGUACAACACUGCAAGUGUGCACGCACCUCACUUUGCCUACGUGAACUGCACGCACACCUCACCCUGCACGUGCAGCAUGCCUAUACACACCUCACACUCCAUACGUGCACUAAAUACAUGCACACUUUGCACUCAGUACGUGCACUGCAUGCACACACCUCACACCACUCUGCACAUACACACACCUCGCACUGCACACAUGCACUGCAUGAACAUACAGUUCACGCUGCAUGCUCCUAUAUGUACACACCUCACACCACUUACAACCACACCAGCACAGCUGUGCCAGCUGCACCCCCUCCCCAACUCCCAAGCUACUUGCUCGCACAAGCAAGUGUGCCACCACCUCUGUGCCACCCUCCCUGGCAUGCUCCCAGCGUACCCACAAGUGUCUCCACCGCUGCCCCCACUCUGCAGGACAGCAUCCGCCAGGACAGCAUUUCCCGUGACCCCAGCCGGUAGGGACGGGUUGCCUGGCCUGUGUGGCACGGGUGGGUGCCAGCACCUCCCUCCGAGCCGUGAGGAUGCCAGCAGUCCUCCUUCCUCCCCACUCCCCCUCCUAAGCUGCAUUUCUGCCUGCAGUGCAGGCUCGGCAGCCUCCUGUGCAGGCAUCAUUUGCUGUGGUGUCCCCCCCGACCUGGGCCAGAGCCCCUUACCCUGGGCCACCCUGGCCAGCAGCACUUCCAGCUGCAUCAGCUGUGCAAGCACCCAGCCCAAAUCAGUGCUGGCAUCCUCCUGGGCAUCGACUUACCGCUGCAGGUAA
rnacentral:lncRNA from 1 species